GUAGGUGGCAAGCGUUGUCCGGAAUUAUUGGGCGUAAAGCGCGCGCAGGCGGUUCUUUAAGUCUGAUGUGAAAGCCCACGGCUCAACCGUGGAGGGUCAUUGGAAACUGGAGAACUUGAGUACAGAAGAGGAAAGCGGAAUUCCACGUGUAGCGGUGAAAUGCGUAGAGAUGUGGAGGAACACCAGUGGCGAAGGCGGCUUUCUGGUCUGUAACUGACGCUGAGGCGCGAAAGCGUGGGGAGCAAACAGGAUUAGAUACCCUGGUAGUCCACGCCGUAAACGAUGAGUGCUAAGUGUUAGGGGGGUUUCCGCCCCCCUUAGUGCUGCAGCUAACGCAUUAAGCACUCCGCCUGGGAGUACGGCAGCAAGGCUG
rnacentral:rRNA from 1 species